rnacentral:rRNA from 1 species
UACGUAGGGUGCAAGCGUUAAUCGGAAUUACUGGGCGUAAAGCGUGCGCAGGCGGUGAUGUAAGACAGGUGUGAAAUCCCCGGGCUUAACCUGGGAACUGCAUUUGUGACUGCAUCGCUGGAGUGCGGCAGAGGGGGAUGGAAUUCCGCGUGUAGCAGUGAAAUGCGUAGAUAUGCGGAGGAACACCGAUGGCGAAGGCACUUUACUGGGCUAUUACUAACACUCAGAGACGAAAGCUAGGGUAGCAAAUGGG